rnacentral:rRNA from 1 species
GAUGAACGCUGGCGGCGCGCCUAAUACAUGCAAGUCGAACGAAGAUCUAGCUUGCUAGAGCUUAGUGGCGAACGGGUGAGUAAUACAUAAAUAUUCUGCCCAUCUGACUGGGAUAACUAUUGGAAACGCUAGCUAAUACCGGAUAGGUUGAUUGGAGGCAUCUCUGAUUAAUUAAAGUAGGAUUUCUACACAACUGGAUGAGUUUAUGGCGCAUUAGUUAGUUGGUGGGGUAACGGCCUACCAAGACGAUGAUGCGUAGCCGACCUGAGAGGUUGACCGGCCACACUGGGACUGAGACACGGCCCAGACUCCUACGGGAGGCAGCAGUAGGGAAUUUUCGGCAAUGGGCGCAAGCCUGACCGAGCAACGCCGCGUGAGUGAUUAAGGCCUUCGGGUUGUAAAGCUCUGUUGUAAGGGAAGAACAUUCAGGAUAGGAAAUGAUCUUGAACUGACGGUACCUUACCAGAAAGCCACGGCUAACUACGUGCCAGCAGCCGCAGUAA